rnacentral:rRNA from 1 species
AACGAACGCUGGCGGCGUGCCUAACACAUGCAAGUCGAGCGGGAAAGUUCCCUUCGGGGAGCAAGUACAGCGGCGAACGGGUGAGUAACACGUAGGUAACCUACCCUGGAGAUCGGGAUAACCUGCCGAAAGGCGGGCUAAUACCGGAUAAGACCACGAGGGCUGCGGCCCUUGAGGAAAAAGAUGGCCUCUGCUUGCAAGCUAUCACUCUGGGAUGGGCCUGCGCGCCAUUAGCAGUUGGUGAGGUAACGGCUCACCAAGGCUGAGAUGGCUAGCUGGUCUGAGAGGACGGCCAGCCACACUGGGACUGAGACACGGCCCAGACUCCUACGGGAGGCAGCAGUGGGGAAUAUUGCGCAAUGGGCGAAAGCCUGACGCAGCGACGCCGCGUGGGUGAUGAAGGCCU